rnacentral:tRNA from 1 species
GGGCGAUUAGCUCAGUUGGUUUAGAGCGCACGGUUCACAUCCGUGAGGUCAUAGGUUCAAGUCCUAUAUCGCCCACUA